UACGUAGAGUGCAAGCGUUAUCCGGAUUUAUUGGGCGUAAAGAGCUCGUAGGCGGUUUGAAAAGUCUUUGGUCAAAGACUCAAGCUCAACUUGAGGCAGGCCUUAGAUACUUUUAAACUUUGAGGAAAGCAGGGGAGAGCGGAACUUGCGGUGUAGGAGUGAAAUCCGUUGAUAUCGCAAGGAACACCAAUGGCGAAGGCAGCUCUCUAGGCUUUACCUGACGCUGAGGAGCGAAAGCGUGGGUAGCGAACGGGAUUAGAAA
rnacentral:rRNA from 1 species